GCUUUGACGAUCUCUCCUGGGACUGAUUCCCCAGGCACACCCCAAAAUCAGCGGCAAGUCCAGAAGGUUGGCCUGCUCCAAUCUCUCUAACAGAAAACAUGACUCUGGAAUGCUGAUCGCUUAG